rnacentral:rRNA from 1 species
CAUUUUACGUAGGUGCUGCAUGGUUGUCGUCAGCUCGUGCCGUGAGGUGUCGGGUUAAGGUCCCACUAACGAGCGCAACCCCUACCUUAGUUGCCAUCAGGUUAAGCUGGGGACGUCUAAAGGAACUGCCUACGCAAGUAGUGAGGAAGCGGGGAGUGACGUCAAAUCAGCACGGCCCUUACGUCCAGGGCUACACACGUGCUACAAUGGCCGAUACAGAGGGCAGCUACCUGGUGACAGGAUGCAAAUCUCCAAAGUCGGUCUCAGUUCGGAUCGGAGUCUGCAACCCGACUCCGUGAAGUUGGAUUCGCUAGUAAUCGCGCAUCAGCCAUGGCGCGGUGAAUACGUUCCCGGGCCUU